CACUUGCGGCGAUGCGAUUCUAGAAUCCCCAAUUCCGUUAACUAACUGCCUCCAGCUGUCAAACGGAUGACGUGGCAUGUCUGGCCUCGCCGGUGAUGGAGAGGAAAGCGGUGCGGCGAGGCGAUGCCCUCUUCUUCUGCGGCGGCUCUGCACAAUCGAGCUCUCGAGAGCGCUGGUUCAAAUUUUGAAUUCUGAAGAUUACGCCUUCGCUGUAGAGAAGCGGGUUUUAUGGUGUGCCGUCUAUUGCCUAGUCUCGUCAGGCAAGUUCCCCUCGCCUCCCUCUCCCUGCAGGCCUGCACUGCAUCAUCCAUCUUCACCCCAUCCCCAAGAAGAGGAGAGGAGGCAAUGACCCCAGCCUGGCCGCCACCUCUUACCACGGGAAAGGUCAAGCGCCGGGCAGGCUAAUGGUUCAGGGGCGCGGCGAGCAGGCUUCAACCACUGGAGGCUGCUCGAGGUUUCUGCUGUUAUGUUUCCUUCCACACAGUUUGGUCACUUAAGCCUUGAUCGAGAUGCUAGGUUUGCAGCCCUGUUGCAUGCCUACACAUACAUGAGGUGAUGCUAGGGAUAAAGGAUGGUAUGUAAUUACUGUGUCAGCGGUUGUGUUUUCUUUCUGAACAAUAUUGGGGGGGGGGGGGGGGUUGAUCCCCACCUACUUUUGAUUGAUCGAGAACUUGAGCAUUACAAGUCAAGGUCCUUGGCACACCAAGGCGAGAGUGCAGAGGCCCCUUCAAAGGAGGGGGUCAAACGGAAGGAAAGUAAAUGAGAUUUGAGAGCCAGAGCUUCCAAGCUUGUAGUUUGUCCUGAAUGGAGCGAUAUCUUCAGCUCUAUUUGUUGAUGUCUGUUAUUAAUCGGAGAACUAAAUGGUUGUGUUUUCAACUGUUCCUCUGUUGUUUUUAGUCGAUAUCUGUUCUGGUCAACCAUUUUUUGACACCAGACAUGCCAUAAUAGUCAUUCCACA